rnacentral:rRNA from 1 species
AGCAUGGUCUUAGCUUGCUAAGGCUGAUGGCGACCGGCGCACGGGUGAGUAACACGUAUCCCACCUGCCGUCUACUCUUGGCCAGCCUUCUGAAAGGAAGAUUAAUCCAGGAUGGCAUCAUGAGUUCACAUGUCCGCAUGAUUAAAGGUAUUUUCCGGUAGACGAUGGGGAUGCGUUCCAUUAGAUAGUAGGCGGGGUAACGGCCCACCUAGUCUUCGAUGGAUAGGGGUUCUGAGAGGAAGGUCCCCCACAUUGGAACUGAGACACGGUCCAAACUCCUACGGGAGGCAGCAGUGAGGAAUAUUGGUCAAUGGGCGAGAGCCUGAACCAGCCAAGUAGCGUGAAGGAUGACUGCCCUAUGGGUUGUAAACUUCUUUUAUAAAGGAAUAAAGUCGGGUAUGCAUACCCGUUUGCAUGUACUUUAUGAAUAAGGAUCGGCUAACUCCGUGCCAGCAGCCGCGGUAAUACGGAGGAUCCGAGCGUUAUCCGGAUUUAUUGGGUUUAAAGGGAGCGUAGAUGGAUGUUUAAGUCAGUUGUGAAAGUUUGCGGCUCAACCGUAAAAUUGCAGUUGAUACUGGAUAUCUUGAGUGCAGUUGAGGCAGGCGGAAUUCGUGGUGUAGCGGUGAAAUGCUUAGAUAUCACGAAGAACUCCGAUUG